rnacentral:rRNA from 1 species
UACGGGGGGGGCAAGCGUUGUUCGGAAUUACUGGGCGUAAAGGGCUCGUAGGCGGCCAACUAAGUCAGACGUGAAAUCCCUCGGCUUAACCGGGGAACGGCCUCUGAUACUGGCUGGCUGGAGUUCGGGAGAGGGAUGCGGAAUUCCAGGUGUAGCGGUGAAAUGCGUAGAGAUCGGCAGGAACACCCAGGGGGAAACCAGCCGACUGGGCAUUUGCUGACGCUGAGGUGCGAGAGCGUGGGGAGCGAACCGG